GCCUGGCCCUAAAUCUUGAUGUUCCACCCUACCUGAACAUCCGCCCGAGAACUACGAGCACAAACGCUUAAAACUCUAAGGACUUGGCGGUGCCCCAAACCCACCUAGAGGAGCCUGUUCUGUAAUCGAUGAUCCACGAUAUUACCUGACCAUUUCUUGCUCAAAACAGCCUAUAUACCGCCGUCGCCAGCUCACCUCCCCUGACAGCCCAACAGUGAGCGCAAUAGCCCCCUCCCGCUAGUACGACAGGUCAAGGUAUAGCCUAUGGAAUGGAAGCAAUGGGCUACAUUUUCUAGACUAGAACAUCACGGCAAAGGGAUAUGAAACUGUCCCUGGAAGGAGGAUUUAGCAGUAAAGUGGGACAAUCGAGCCCUCUUUAAGCCGGCCCUGGGGCACGU
rnacentral:rRNA from 1 species